rnacentral:rRNA from 1 species
CCCUUAGAGUUUGAUCCUGGCUCAGAACGAACGCUGGCGGCGUGCUUAACACAUGCAAGUCGAACGUGAAAGUCCUUCGGGAUGAGUAAAGUGGCGCACGGGUGAGUAAUACAUAGGAACGUGCCAAUGGGUGGGGAAUAACCAGGCGAAAGCUUGGCUAAUACCGCAUGAAGUCGCAAGACCAAAGAGGGCCUCUGCUUGCAAGCUCUCGCCGAUUGAUCGGCCUAUGUCCCAUUAGCUAGUUGGUAGGGUAAAGGCCUACCAAGGCAACGAUGGGUAGCUGGUCUGAGAGGAUGAUCAGCCACACUGGAACUGAGACACGGUCCAGACUCCUACGGGAGGCAGCAGUGGGGAAUCUUGCACAAUGGGCGCAAGCCUGAUGCAGCAACGCCGCGUGAGUGAAGAAGGCCCUUGGGUUGUAAAGCUCUUUCGGCUAGGAAGAAGGGCUCGAGAGUUAAUACCUCUAGAGUCUGACGGUACUAGAAGAAGAAGCACCGGCUAACUCCGUGCCAGCAGCCGCGGUAAUACGGAGGGUGCAAGCGUUGUUCGGAUUGACUGGGCGUAAAGCGCACGUAGGCGGGUCCUUAAGUCGGAUGUGAAAGCCCCGGGCUUAACCUGGGAACUGCAUCCGAAACUGAGGAUCUUGAAUGCUUGAGAGGUUGGUGGAAUUCCUGGUGUAGGAGUGAAAUCCGUAGAGA